AGGAGCAACAACGGGCUUUUCGGCACAACACCGGAAACUCACUGGUAGCGCAGUAACUUUGCUGGUGCAUGCAGGCAAUCAGGCAAAGCUGCCCCUGAACAAUGAAAACAUGCAUGUUAGCUGGCUAAAUAGCUAUACAAUGUUAUAUUUGAUAAAGUAAAAUCAUAUUAACUUCUCAAAUAAGUUAUUAAGCAAGCUAGCUAAAUGUUCUAGCUUGCCAACAAUACAAAAAAACUCAGUCAGCUGGUGCUAAUUGCAAUCUAGCUGUAGCAUUGCGUAUAGCUAACGUUAGCUAGCUAGACCAACCAAGUUUAGCUAAACAUCUUGCCUCCAUGAAUGUUAUUGAUAUUCACGGACUUGGAUACCAUUAAAUCUGCUCCCAUCACGAUUAAAAGAAGCCCCAGGAUGGUGUGUGAGCUGCUAGUCUCCUCACUAUGGUUCCUUUUUGUAAUAUUUUGGGUGGAGACCAUAAGCGUGUGGCUGUUCCUAUGUAUCUUCUACCAGGACCAGGCAUUUUAUCACUGGGGAGAUGGGGUAUUUGCAGAUGACCCUGGCCAAAUGCUGUACAUGUUGAGCAGAGUGGAUCCCUCUGGACAGAUGCAGACCUGAGAUAGGGAAAGAAUGAGGAACAGCACAUCAUGGAUUGUUGGAUGGAUCUCAUGGAUCUCUCCAGAUAUAAAAUGAUAGGAGCUGUAUGUUUGAGCCACUCCUAUAAAAUAAUGAGAACAAGUAGUUGUUUUCUACCUCCCUGCUACUGGUUCCCUCUUAGAUUUAGCGCAUGGUCUUUGUCAACAUGAACAAACUGCAUUGAAUGCAGUUGGAUUGUUGUUGGAUAUGGGUAGAGACACCCAGCUUGGCAGGAAGAACCAGGAAGGGGGUCCUGCAGUAACUGGAAUUGAUGCAUAGUGAGGCUGCUAAGUGUUCCCCACCAAAGCAUGAACCAUCAUACAUAUGUUCUAUUUCUAUUGUCUGUGUUAAUAUGUGAUAGGUCAAACAAUGUGAAAAACACUUGGCAGAUGCUUUGAAAAAAUAUUUUUAACUGAGGUUUAGUCCAUAGUCAAUGUCAUUUUUGUGGAUUUCAGCAGACUUGCGCAUUUUCAUGGUUGUACACCUUUGUUUGUUUUCACAAAUCUGUCUAUAUACAUAAUCUGCUUCAAUCUGGGCACUUACAUGACAGUGUCACUGGAUUGUUUUGUUAUGUAAAACACUAACAUUAUUGACAUGACACACAUAUUUAAUGAAAAGCUUUACUCUUGGAAAUGUUACAACAUGAAAAUAUAAUUUGCACUCAUCAGUGUUUUCUAAUUUGCUCUCAAACUAAAAUGUUGAAUGUAGCUUUUUUGAUGAAGACCAUAGAUCUGGGUUUUCUUGUUUUUUGUUGCUGUUGUAAAGCUCACACCUCAAUAAUAAUGUCAUGAAUGCUCUAAUAGCAAAUGAGGAAAAUUAUUAGAAUCCAUAGAUUAAUUCCACAUUUAGAUUUGUAUCUGUUCAUAACAUGUAAAUUGUCUUAAUUGAACGAUUGUCCUUCUGUAAUGUCAGGCAUAGCCUAACACAAGUAUUGUCUUUAAUGUCGACUUCUUGUUUAGGAAAGUGACAUGUCAGGUGUUAAACUGGGCAGUGACAUCAAUGGUACGUUUGUUUUUAUUUCUUUGCAUCCGAAGACAGAAUAAAUUCUAACAUUUCCCAA